rnacentral:lncRNA from 1 species
GUGGGAGCUGGUCGGAUGCGGCUCAACCAGCGGACGAGCUUUUUGUGAAAUUCGGUUAUUACGUGCCUCAAUAACUAACUCUGGCCGGCCUUAGGCCUGCAGUUGAGAACAGUUCGCAAUCUCCUCUACCGCCCCUCGACGCCGGAUGCAGUACUUGAUUCCGGUGAACCGAUAAGGUGACGCCCAGCGUCGCUCAGCGUCACAUAGCGUCGCCAACACUUAUCCGGCACUCCGAACCGGCCGCGCCGAACUCCAACAGCGCGCGCGCAGCGCUCUACGAUUUCGCUUCCUCCUGGGAUUCAUGAGUUCGUUUUCGACUACCCGUCACAUCGCAGGCGCCGGUUGCUCCGUUUCAACGAAAUCUUCUUCGGGGGACUUUAUUGCAUAAAUAUCAAGAGGCUCUUCAAUCCAUCUAUCGAUAGGAUAAUCUUGGGAUCCCAUGGGCAGGUAGACGUGCUAUUGAAACAGAAACCCCACUGACUUUACGAUGGCGACCGUUUGGCCUUGAGACCGCCCAAACCUACGCCGAGUGAACAGCGUAUUUCCAAGGCACGAGGAGCUGAAGUUGCAUCAGAGACUUGCCGAACGAUCUGCGUUAUUAGAAUGGCCGGAACGGGUUUAUUACGCAGUCGCCCGAUUGGUUAUCCCCGUGCCCGCCGUUUCGUGAAUUUCAUUCCUGACUCCAUGGAGGAACAAAGUGAAAAGGGAGGAAUAUAGGAUGCCGGCUGGCGGGCAGAUGGUUGCCCUGCUUAUUGGUUUAUUCGCCCGGUACCCUCGCCCUCGUCUCGAUCCUAGCCUGUCGCCUGGCCUCCCUCCAUCCCAGUGGCCGGAGGCCCUGCUUGAGGGGAAAGCACGUAUCCUGUUCACUUCCUGUAUCAACUGUGACAAUCAUCGACAGAGAAAUUCUUAAGACAGUUAACGGGGCAUAGAUUGGGAUUGUUUGGACGAUUAACUUGCAGCCUGACUCUUUGUUUCGCGAGAAUGGAAAGAAAGCUCCACUUGAAGCAACGUCAAUCGAAGUGGGCGAUGUAUCUCGCGUUGAGUGGAGAAUAUAACGGUGGGCUGGAGUAUGAAAAAUCGGGUCACAUAAUUUGAAUAUUCUACAUUUCCCGACGGAGCAACAAAGCAAAGAUGUGAGAGAUAGAGAGCGUAAAACGAAAUGAAAUGAAAAAACAAAUGCGAAGAAAAUGAAAAGGAAAAAACCCUCCGCGGAGUAAUACACGCAAUAUUUCAUUCGUAGCUCAUUUACAUUCCGCAUACCCCUAGGGAUAGAGUGUAGAAGAGUUCCGUUAUAGUGUCCUGGAAGCUCGCAAAGUGCAGGAGAGGCAGGGACGGAGGAUCUAGGCGAUAAAAUCACGUAGCGUAAAAUGAGAGAAGGGCGGCGGGGAGCCGGUAUUAUGGCGUCGUCGCUGGGCGGUCGGCGUCGGGUCGAUAGGACGAUGGAGGCGCACCGAAGGCCUGGCGAAACUGCGUUCCUGGCCAACCCCCCGUCGUCUGCACCCUCGAACUUCUCUCCUUUGAGCCGAGCUCAUCCCAGGGGAUGAAAUUAUUCGCUUCGAAAAUGUCCUGGAAGCGCUGACGAGAGCUGACGAGUCAGUCCACUCAACGAGUCCGCACCAAACACGGUCAGUCAAUCCUUUACGGUACGUCGCAAGCUGUCAACUCGAUAAUUGCUCACAAAAGGGAUCGAGGUUUUUUCUACGGAAAAACCGAUUUCUCGGAUCAUCCGGUGAAUGAAGACAUAUUGUGUAUAGAAAACUUGGACCAAGAUGAACUUGACAGAGUGACCGAGUAACCUUUCGGCUCGGAAAUAUUGCGUACGCACAUGUCGGUGCACUGCAGGAAUCUGAUGCACUUCGGGACAGCGAGAUUGCAUUUACCGCUACCCGGAGCCGUCCUUGUGCAAACUGCUGUAUCAUCUUCACCUCGCUCAUCCACAAUCGACUUGCUUAUACAAUGACCUGAAGAGCGGAGAAAUAUAUUGUCUAUAGAUAUUUUUCAUUGAACUUGACCACGUAUUUGAUCAUCGAACAGGUGAUUCGGAUGGGUAGUUUCACGGACGUUCAGCGAUUCGUUAUACUGGGCCAACUGAGAAACAUAUUACCAUAGAAAUUCACGAUGUUCGGUUACGUAGAAGAUGGCGAACCCAUUGCAGCGAGCAAUUUUGUAAUUUAGAAGGCCCAGUUAAUGCUCUACAUCUACCCUGUAGAUCCGAAUUUGUUUGAUAACAGGCGACAAAUUCGGUUCUAGAGAGGUUUGUGUGGUGCAUACAAUGCUACAGUGGUCUGGAUCGAGUUACCUUUAUACAACUACCUGCGAUUUAUUAUCUUACUGCAUGACUGCUAAACACUGUAAAUCCAACUAUAUAAGGCAAUCGACAAUGUACAUCAGUUUCUGAAAUUUUACAUCCGGUGAGUUUUAUCGGAUACUGCAAAUGAGAAGCUUCAAGCAACGGUUGAUGCAAAAUAAGUGCACAUCGGAAUAUUAUACUGAUGACGUUGCUCGAUUUUCAGGAUACUCUGUGUUCCUUUUUCGUGAGAUGAGAAUCUUAGAAUUCGUUGUUUGUCUACUGAUUUUUGAUAACACUUGCCAAAAGCAAAUUCUUCUUGUUCGCUCUAAUCUGAGCAGCGCGUUAAAAAUGACCACAAUUAGUUAACUCGGCGUUGAAUGUAUAAUUUAUAAAUCAUGUGCAAGCUUCUCGUCUAAUUUAUUAACACUCUCCCCCUUAAAGACAUCUUCGAAUUCGUCUUUUUAUCCGUGAUUCCCUAAACGAAUCGAAACGGUUACACGCAUCAGCGGGAGCUCGAGGGCCAACUCUUUUUCACUUAACGGCCUUCUUAGUGUGCGUGGGAACGUUUUUCCUGGACCACAUCGAUCAGAUACAGAUCAUCAAUAAAAAACAGCGUUCGUUAAACCGGACGUCAAAUAGCUCGUAUUAUGCUUUCGACGCUGCAGCUUAUACUUCGCUCAAGAAUAUAAACUUACGCCAGAGAUCAGAAGGAUUUUAUCUUUCAACUUUGUGAAUCAAAUAUAGAUCAUUCGACUAAAUAAUUUAUUACGAUCGCGUACUGAUAUUGAAUGUAUUUUUCUCAGAUACCGAAAUUUAAUAACGCGUUGCUGAAUAAUGAUUGUCGGUAAAAAAGAAUCCUUUUUUGUGUGACAUAUUUAUCCAUCUAAUCGUUGGAAUAAAUUAUUCUACUGACAAUCGGAUAAGACAAAGAUCCGAUCGUAAACAGCAGAAUAAAUGCGUAGAUUUAAUUUAUUCAGCAUAAAUUGACGUCAGUGAAUAGGAACUUGUGUCUGCGAAUGCAAUUGCGUUAAUACUCGUCGUACUCGAUGUUACGUGUACUUUAAUCAUGCGUGACUAUUAAAAUUACCUAUUUUUCGUACACACCUAUUCAACAGUCGUUAAUAGGUUGCGGAUAUGAUUAGCAGUAAAAUCAAACUAAGAUCUUUGUUCGACAGCGUAUUUAAUUUUGUACCGAUGGAAUUUUAAUUUUUUUGUUCGUGGCAUCUUAUCCUACUUUUUGUUCUUCGAUGUAAUCAAAAUUUAGAAGCGCAUUGACGGUUAUUGCAAAUUGACACACGGCAGUGAGGAUAGCAACAGUACCUAUUUUGAAGUGUCUUGUACCCAACAUAAUCCUGUACGUGGUAAUUAUUGGAAAGGCAAUAUUCGAUGCGCGUGAUCAGACGACACGUGGAAAAUCUUGCGUAAUAAAAGCAAGUGCCAACAAAGUGCCAAUCAAUCAUAAUACAAUCUUGCAAAGGUCGCUUCUGCAGCGCAAAGAUCUUGGAGGGCAUCUAUAAGCGGGUAAAACAAGGCAAAAAAGCCGAUAUAUCCAACCGAGAUCGCGAAGAGAACUCAAGGUAAUCUUGUAGGAUUUCUCGAAGGAAUCCCAUAACGAGUUAAGUAUCAUUUAAUGAACAAGAGUUACAUAUGCGUCUGAAAAAGCAAAUCACGUUCAAACUGACACUUCGCGAGAUUAAUCGUAAGACCAACCGUAAAGUCAAUUUCACUACAGGUUGCACUGAUGCAGAAAUCCUAUGCUUGGGCUGGAUAGAUAGAAUGUAUUACAAAAUAGCAAUAGGAAAACGUGUGUAAAGAUAAAAACUAACUUGAGAUUGCAAAGCAGAGAGAGAGAGAGAGAGAGAGAGAGAGUCUUGCAACGUAUGCAAUCAAAUAAAAUUCAAAAAGCACACGAAACAUGUCGCAUAUUGACAGCUCACGCAUGUAUCAACGCUGCAGGAGGUUUCCUACAAGAUUGUAUUUCAUUUGUUGGCAAUGUGCCAAUUAACGAAUAACCCAUCGAACAUAAGCGUGUAUUUCUUUGACCAGUAGAUCAGGGGCACGGAAACGUACGAUUAACUAUUACUUACAAAUUACCAUAGUAAUAAUACGCCGGGUAAUUGAUUUACGCAGAGUCUUAGAGUGAUUGGAAUACUGCCAUUAGUUUCGUGGAUCUUUUG